rnacentral:misc_RNA from 1 species
GAUGAGGCUGCCAAGGAGCUAGAAUCUUGUGCAGGAGCUGUAGAUCUCGCAGCUGAUCUUGAUAAACUUCAAGGGAGGUGGAAAUUGAUAUACAGCAGUGCAUUCUCAUCUCGUACUCUUGGUGGAAGUCGUCCUGGACCCCCCACUGGAAGACUUCUUCCCAUCACUCUUGGUCAGGUAUUUCAAAGAAUCGAUGUACUGAGCAAAGAUUUUGACAACAUAGUGGAGCUUGAAUUAGGUGCUCCGUGGCCUUUCCCGCCUGUUGAAGCAACUGCCACUUUAGCCCACAAAUUUGAACUUAUAGGAUCAUCUACGAUUAAGAUUAUAUUCGAGAAAACUACAGUGAAGACAACUGGAAAUUUAUCACAGCUCCCACCAUUAGAAGUGCCUCGCAUACCAGAUCAGUUCAGGCCACCAUCAAAUACAGGAAGUGGUGAGUUUGAAGUUACCUACAUCGAUUCUGAUACACGAGUAACAAGGGGAGACAGAGGAGAGCUUAGAGUUUUCGUUAUCUCAUAAGUUAAGCUGCAAUGAAUAUAGUCUUCCUACAAUGUUUUGUUGCUACAAUUUCAUGUAACAACAUAUCAAAUGUGUAGAUAUGCUCAACAUUAUUCUGCUGGUCACAGCUAUCAAAUCUGUAAUGCUA